rnacentral:lncRNA from 1 species
CUGAAGCUUCGAUCUCCAGCUUUCUUGCUUGUGCUAAAUGUCUCCCUUACCUGUAAAGUUUUUCUGGAUCAUCCACAAAAUUUUUCGGUUUAUCCAUCUCCUGUUAGAGUUAGUGAAAGAAAAAACAUAUAUACAAGAACUAGAAUGAACUUUUCAUUGAGAUUGAACAAAAACAAAAAUAUUAAAAAGAAAAGACUGAAAAACCAUGAAUAAAAAGUUAUAUCUACCGAUGCAUAAUUAAACUAGAACUUGACUAUUAGUUCCCCGACAACGGCACUAGAAAAGCUUGUUGGUGGCAGUUAGCACGCCAGUUUGAACCGCAAGCGCACGGAUCAGUUGUAGCUUUUCCCUCCGAGUACUCCCCCAAGAUUUAUCAAUCUGUGAAACUUUUAUAGCACAAGAUCUAUUUCAACUAGCAUUGUUAGUAUUAACUUGGUGUUUAUGAGAUAUUCAGAUCCAAUCUACUAAGUAUGUAUAGACAGAUAACAGAUAGAGCAGAGGUAACAAUAACCAAUCUAGAGCAAUCUAGAUUAUGCAAUAUGUUGUAAUUCAGAGCAUGGAUAGCAAAGCAACACAUAUAUGAUCUUAGCAAAAAGCAUCUUUAAAUCUAAACCUUCGGUCCAACUCCCGAAACCCCCUAUCUUACACAAGAUCCCGUCACGAUCCCCACUAUCAGCAUACGUAGACUAAGGGCACGAUCAAAAGAAUAUGCUAACUCUUCGGUAGAUCAGGCAUGCAAAUCUGGUCACCACAAUCACAAGAACAUCCUAAGCAAUCUAUCAUCGAUCAUAGAUUGAAAAGCAUGCAAACCAGAUCGCUAAGAAUAAGAACACAUCUAUUACUUCACCAUGAAUGAUUAUACAUCACAAGAUCACCAUCGGGAUCUUACCUUGAUCUUGUUGACUCCUAAAUCUAGAACUGUUGUGUGAUCUUCCUCGCAGGAUGAUCACACUGGCAAGGGUUUAGCUACGCCUACUCCUGACAACUGCAUGACCCUUGGCUCUUCGGAGAGGUGUCCCUCAAGCUCCGUCUGAUUCUCUGUCGCUUCACGUCGAGUACGUCAUCUUGGAUAUGGGGUUUGGUGGAUUUUUCGAGUAUUUAUAGUCCAGAGGGUGUGUAGUAACAAUUGGAAGGCAAGGGGAUGAAGGAAACCCCAGGCCGAUCGGCUUGGGAGGGUCCAGGCCGAUCGGCCUGGGCCUUUUAGCCCCUCACGUCCUGCUUCAUCUCCAAAUCUUGAUGGAUGCUCUGAAGUCUUAUUUUCACUUACAUGUGGG